rfam:Trichococcus sp. R210 isolate Trichococcus_R210 genome assembly, contig: TR210DRAFT_scaffold-28
AACCGCCGUGUACGGAACCGUACGCACGGUGGUGUGAGAGGACGGUAGAUGAACUAAUCAUCUACCUCCUACUCGAU